rnacentral:lncRNA from 1 species
CCUCACCCAAAUUUCAUGUCAAAUUGAGAUCCCCAAUGUUGAGGGUAGGGCCUGGUGGGAGGUGACUGGCUCGGGGGGUGGUUUCUAAUGAUUUAUCACCAUCCCCUGUAGUUGUCUUGUGAUAGAGGUCUCCUGAGAUUUGCUUGUUUAAAAAUGUGUAGCAUCUCCCCUUUUCUCUCUCUCCUGCCAGGCAUGUGAAUGAGGGCCUGCUUCUCCUUCCCCUUCCGCCAUGAUGCUGGCUUUCCUGAGAGCAAGCAAACAUGAGAAGGCAAGAAGGUACCCAAACAAGCCACCAUCUUUUUGUAACCUAUUCAUAGAAGUGACAUCCCUUCAUGUUGUGCCCUGAUGUAUGCAUAGAGGUGAGUCACCAGGUCCAGCUCACUCUCCAGGGAAGGGGAUUGCACAAGUCCUGAAUACCAGGAGGUGGGGGU